UGUGGUGGUUGCGAAGAAUGUGUUCCGUGUUAGUGACUGCGUGACUAGUUCGGUCAUACUCCUGUACAGAGUGUUAAGUGCCACUCGGUUAUAUACUCCGAGAUUUGGUGAAAAUAGAGAAUCGAACGCUGAUUUGUAAUAAAAAUGAAUAAAUAACCUGUGUACAAAGGUGUUAUAUUGGUGUGUCAGUUGUAUGCUCCAGUCUAAGAGAGGCCUGUGAAGACCUUGAGGUUUCUCAUGCUCCAAAAAAAAAAUCUUUAAGGCUGAUAGGGCAUUAUUAACCUAGUGCCCAGUUACCAAGUGAGGACGGCGUAGGCCUGGCCGGUGAGCAGCAGAGCGCGGCGUGAGAGUAUAACCGCAAAGGGUAACCAGCCGAACGAGUCGACACGAAGCGACACCGAGCAGAGCCGAAGUUGAGGACCAGAGACAAAACGACAAUAGUUAAGAAAGUAAUAUGAGAAUGCCUGCAGACAUACUUGUAAGUGUGGCGUCUCCUAGGGUAGAAGUUUCUCAAAGAAGCUAACUGACAUGACCCACUCCGACAGCAGGAUGAAGUUCACAAACACUGACGAAUUUUGGACAGUCAAAAUAUUCGAUAAGUGAAUGUUGAAUGAUUUGGAAUGAAGCUGAAAUGUGGUAAUUACGGCUAUCCUUGCACUUGCCUGGAGGGACUAUAGAAAACCACAAGAGACUUGUUCAGAAUGGUGCAGGAGGAAAGAUUCUCCAUCCACUGAAUACCUUAAUCAUCUUUAGUAAUGAAUGGUGCAAGAAGUUGGCGACACUGGAUCCCAAGGAUGGGAAUGAAGACACCUUGCGGUCUACAGUGUGGACAGGAUGACCAACAUUAACCAUUAGAUGAACUGUUCAGAAGCGGUCCAUUUAUUUCAUGAGGAAGUCCCAGAAGCUGGUGCUCUGAUAAACUAUGGUGAUUGUGUGGCCAGUAAGUCAUCUCACAUGCAAUGGCCACUAAGGAUUGGACCGUGGGCUGUGGCAGGAUAAUUCCUGAUAAUAUGUUCACCUCCAGAGCAGAGUCUACAUUUCACACCUUGUCCAGUUGUGGGCAGAGCCAGAAGACAACAUAUCAUCACCUUCUGAGGAUCCAACAACUACAAAAUGAAGGAAACACAGGCUCACGAAUUGGUUCUCCAAGCGAUUACUAUGGUCUCUUGAAGGUGUGGUGUAGCUGCUUUGCCAAAUAUACCUUUUAGAACAGCUAUACACUGGCCCACUGUGACAUCAUCAGUGACCAUUUCUGUGAUGGCAGCAACCUUGUCUGCCACUAACACAAGAAGAAUUGGAGCAAGAUACAAUUUCCAGAACAGCAACAGCUGACCCCUGCUUGGUGUUGUGCUGUCAUUUCCAAAUUAACUUUAUUAUUUAUCUGAUGUUGACUGUGUUCUUUCGUGAAGAUGACAUCAAAUUGAAAUCUUUUAUACAGUUCUUGGGUAUUCAAGCAUGGGGACAGUCCUUGCCAUUUCUCCAGCUGCCUCUCAAAUAAGCUACAGAUCAAAGAUAAUUUUUGAGGGAAACUUCUGGGAAAAGUAAUGGAAGCUGUGGUUAAAGCUUUACCAUCCAUAGCAGUGGUGUUGUGACAGUUGGGAGACAUCUUGAAUUUAACUAAUGGUGAACAUACCAUCAGCAAUUAUCCUACCACAGCCCCAUGGUCCACUGGUGAUUUCGUACGAAGUCCGCAAGUUUCACCAGAGGUACCAGUUUUAGCAAGUG